GAGUUGGCUAUACGGUCGCGUGGCGUUAUGCCAUGAGGAAAGUCCGAGCACCACAGAGCAGGACGCCGGAUAACGUCCGGUGAAGGCGACUUCAAGGAAAGUGCAACAGAAACAGACCGCAGAGAACUUCUGUAAGGAUGGAAAGGGGAGGUAAGAGCUCACCGGCGCCGCGGCGACGCGGCGCGCUGUGUAAACCCCGUCCGGUGCAAGAUUGGGCCGCUGCCGCAAAGGCUGCUCGCCCGGCGGCGGCCGUGAAUAUCGCUGGAACGUACCGGCAACGGUACGGCUAGAUAGAUGACCGUACUCGACAGAACUCGGCUUACUGACAAUCU
rnacentral:RNase_P_RNA from 1 species